AUGGGGGUGGGGGGGGAGGGUGUUGGUUUGUUGCUGUUUCUUUUCCUCUGGAACUUUAUUUGAAUCAUAAGGGUUAGAAGAGAGCUCUGAGAUCACCCACCAGCCCCUCAGCGCGGUGCCGUGAGCCUCACCUCUGAGCAGUUCUAAAAUGGUGGCUGCUCUCCAGCUGAGCGGCUCCUGACUGCGAGAUAAAGAGAACUGAAAGGUUCAAAUAGUAACAGAGCUGCUUUUGAGGGAUGCCAGGCCAUCAGCUUGUCCUGUGCGUCCAUUUGCACCAAUGCUGCUCGGGGUGGAUAUGGAGUGCCCUCCUUCUGCUGUGUCCUUCUGGAGCCUGGCAAUGGCUUAAGGGCUUCCUAUGUCCAGCUACUUAAUGACUGGCAUAAUUAACGAUAGCAACGGUGGCACCAGGUUUGGAAAUGAAGUCGUGUUGUGUGGUGACGGCGUUAUCUUGUGUUUGUUUUACGCUGGUUGAGUGAGUCACGGCGUUGUUGGUUUGCCUUGUUAUUUGAGGUUCUGCAAUCCCAGCUGAUGUUUGUAAGCUGCUUUGGGCUGACGGGAUGAAAGCUAAUAAGGAAAAAGUACAAUUGAGCUUUAGAAAGGAGGGUAAUGGUGCUGCUGCAGUCAUGGGAAGCUGCGAGGUGGAUGGGAAUGCUGUGUUCAAGCAUGCUGUUAAAUUCCUUCAUCCAUGGUCUGAAUUUUUGGCCCCAGGAGAGCAGCGCAGUUCUCCAUCAUUACACAUUCAAGGCAAACACUGCAGAACCCAGUGAUAAUAUCAGUAUUUAAAGACAUAACCAGGUGCAAAUCAUCUGGUUGGCUGGGGAUCCCUGAGCAGAAAAAUGCUGGUGCUUCAGGGUGGGAUGACAGAAGCGUGCAAUUAGCAGGGGGCGGUUGGUUCAUCCAGCUCUUCUGUGUGGUGUGCAAGGAUGAGGAGGGGAUGGAGGCCCUGUUUUGUGCAAUCCCUUCAAUGAAUUCACAUUACCGUGUCCUCUUGGGUCUGCAGUUCUCUUUGAAGGCUGACGAAUGGCACAGGUCUGAGAGGGGCAGUGCUGUGUGCAUAUCCCAGGGUCCUGGCCCAGACCUCUGGAGCUGUUGGAUCUGCCGAGAAGAUGAAUUCUGAUAAUGCAGUGUCCUGUUUUCAUGUUAUCUUGCUUACAGAACACGGCAAUAUGGAUGGGAUUUGUGCAGGAAUUUAAAGAAACAAAAGGAAUCGAAAACACGACCAAAUAGAUGCAGCGUUCAGCCCUAAACAGAUGGGAACCUGUCAGCACAACACGGAGAUAAUUAUCCGUUGGAGCCAUGGGAAGCUUCAUGGCUGAGAGGAAGUUACUGCAGCCAGUGCAGCCCUGCUUUAUCAUCUUAGCAGUUUUUUUGGACAGAGCAUAUUGGUGAGUUCCAUCAUUCCUUUGAAGAAGCACCAAGAACAUCCUUGUUUCCAUAGGGGGGGUGCAUUGAUGAUGCUGGAAAUUGAUCUUCCAUGGGUAUUUGGGUGGCAUUGGGUGGAAAUGCUCCAUUCUGGCAGCGCAGCGCUGGGAGGUUCUUGUCCUCCCUUUGGAAAUGAGAACCAGAACCCAUUUCCUGUUAAAGAGAAGAGAGAGAAGGAGGUGGUGAAUCUCAGGGUUCCAUGGUACACCUCAGUCUGGAUGAUCACCUUCGAUGCACCUCGAUCUGUUCUUCCCUUCUGAGCCACCUCUGCUGCCACGCUGCAUUGCUGCCUCGUGUCUCUGCACAAUCAGUGCUGCUGUGCUCAGAGCCCAGUGCCGUUCCCCCAGCAGCAGGGAGAUGUGCUACAAGCACUGCUGAUGCAGGAACCUGGCAUCUUUCUGGGUGAAGCGUGCAGCAGAAAUGUAACAGCAGUGGUGGGAGUGAUUUUUGCAGCAGAGGGGGAAGCGUGUGAGGUAGGUGUGUGAGAAGUCAGCCUCUGCAGUGAUGUUCUUCAUUACCAAACCCCUACCCAUGCACACGUCUUCAUCCCUGUUUAAUCUGUUGAUUCUCUUUCGUGGGGGUGUAGAAAAAGGUGAAUUCCCAAUGGAUUUUGGGGGGUUAUGGAAACAGCCACCUCCUGAGAUGGGCACACGAGUGGUGCUUGCUGCCACUUAAGCAAGUAAUGCUCUUCCCCUUGAAAACCACUCCUGAGCAUCUGUAAGUACUUUGCUUUUGUUUUACUAUUACUGCUAGCAAAUUCACAAUUUGUGAGAAAGGAAAUGAUUCCCAUUCCUGCUUUCUAGACAGGGAAACCCAAGUCACAGGCAUUGAACACGAAGCAAGGACCUCAGGAGCCCCAGUAUUCCCAGCUGUAACCACAGCUUCAUUCUGUGGCUCUCACAAAGUGCAGCUCCAGAGCCGUGCCUCCAUUCAGGGUUCCAUUCCCCCACCCCAGGGCCCUUUGGCAGCAGGCUGCUCCCUGCUUGCUUCACAGCCAUUCAUUGUGGCUCAGCCUGCUCAGUACCUGCGCUUGCAUUUGCAUUUCCAAGACACGAACCCUUUGUUUGUGGGAUGGCUGCAGUGUUUUUUCCCUGCUCUGGGGGUGAUGCUUGGUGUGAAAGCUGUUUAGGAGAGCUGAUUUUUACAUUUUUUUCCCCCUUAUUUGCACAUUAUAAAGUGUUUGCUCGCUGUCUGUGUUCCAAUUAUAAAUCUGCUACUUCUCUGCUCAUAAAAAUAACCAGAACGAGGCACUGGUGGAGAUCUUUGCUCACAUUUCCAUUCCCUUAUGGCUGUAUGGUGUGAGCACCGUUCAUCCAGAGCUGGAAAAGGCACCCGGGGAGGGGGAUGAACGGGAUGGGGGGCACGGGAAGGUUGGUUCAUAACCCUUCUGUUAAUCCAUGGUGUUGAUUUGUUCUCCUGCAGCGGUGAAGAGAGCCCAGAGCUGGAGGUGGGAACCAGAGCUCUCAGAUCAGGGAUUUUGAAGGAGGAAGAAAACUGUACCUGACGUUGGACUUUGGCCUUCUCUCUCUCAUUUUCGUGCCACCUCUCCCCAGUUUGGGACCCAGUCCUGCACUGAUGGAAGCAGGCUGAGC